rnacentral:rRNA from 1 species
GACGAAGGGGGCUAGCGUUGUUCGGAAUUACUGGGCGUAAAGGGCGCGCAGGCGGUCUUGCAAGUCGGGCGUUAAAGACCUGGGCUUAACCCGGGGAAUGCGCUCGAUACUGCAAGGCUUGAGAUCGAGAGAGGAGAGUGGAAUUCCCAGUGUAGAGGUGAAAUUCGUAGAUAUUGGGAAGAACACCGGUGGCGAAGGCGGCUCUCUGGCUCGAUUCUGACGCUGAGGCGCGAAAGCGUGGGGAGCAAACAGG